rnacentral:rRNA from 1 species
AUAUCAAUAAGCGGAGGAAAAGAAACCAACAGGGAUUGCCCCAGUAACGGCGAGUGAAGCGGCAACAGCUCAAAUUUGAAAUCUGGCCCCCCGGCCCGAGUUGUAAUUUGGAGAGGAUGCUUCUGGCGCGGCGCCGUCCGAGUUCCUUGGAACAGGACGCCACAGAGGGUGAGAGCCCCGUACGGACGGACGCCUAGCCUCUACGAAGCUCCUUCGACGAGUCGAGUAGUUUGGGAAUGCUGCUCAAAAUGGGAGGUAAAUUUCUUCUAAAGCUAAAUACCGGCCAGAGACCGAUAGCGCACAAGUAGAGUGAUCGAAAGAUGAAAAGCACUUUGAAAAGAGGGUUAAAAAGUACGUGAAAUUGUUGAAAGGGAAGCGCCUGUGACCAGACUUGCGCCUCGCGGACCACCCGGCGUUCUCGCCGGUGCACUCUGCGUGGCGCAGGCCAGCAUCGGUUCUCCCAGGGGGACAAAGGCCGCGGGAACGUAGCUCCUUCGGGAGUGUUAUAGCCCGCGGCGGCAUGCCCCUGGGGGGACCGAGGACCGCGCUUCGGCAAGGAUGCUGGCGUAAUGGUCACCAGCGA